rnacentral:lncRNA from 1 species
UUUUUUCUAUCUUUUAUGAGUAAUUUUGUUUCUUAUCUAUCAAAUGUUAGGAUUAUGAGGAUCUCACAAUAAUAAACGUGGUGCUAGUGUAACACUGGAAAACAUAUUGAGUUGCUUUCCUUUAUACCAUACUGUCUCAUUUUAAAUUUGUUGUUAUUAUUCUAUUUUCUUUUUUUCUUUUUCAUUUUCUAGUAAUUAUUCUAUCUUAUUUUUUUAUUUUUCAUUUUCUACUUAUAAUUAGUAUUUUAGCAUAUUUUUUAAUUUGUAUAACUUAUGUUAAUUGUUUAAUUAUCAGAAUAUAGAAGAUGACAUUUUAUGUUCUUAAGGAUAUAAGUAUAUAUUUAAUUAAUUUUGAUAUUCAAUACAUAUCUUUCUAAACUAGUUAAUAUCAAGGUUUGUUACUCAUUACAUGUUUGAUUGAUUUAUAUAAUUGAGGAUGUACUUAUUAGAAAUAUUUAGCUUACAUUAUUUAAUAGAAAUCUCUGGUUCAUAUUCACUUUAUGAUUGUAUAAACAAACUUAUUAGAAAUAUUUAGCUUACAUUAUUUAAUAGAAAUCUCUGGUUCAUAUUCACUUUAUGAUUGUAUAAACAAAAUACAAAGGGUAGAAAAAUACGUACUGCUGAAAAAUUGUCAUAUUUUUUUUUCUAUCUUUUAUGAGUAAUUUUCCUUCUUUUCUAUCAAAUGUACAGAUCAAGUGAUUUCUGAUAUAGGUUGAUCUUUUGAAGGUUACACAUCUCUACCUUUUUUUUUUGUCACCCUAUUCAUCUGUGUUUCCUCUAAUUUUCAAUUUUAUUCUUGCAACACCAAUGAUUAUGAUAGGGUUUUUCGUAUUGUUUUUAUGAGAUUGAGAUGUUUGUUAGGAUUAUGAGGAUCUCACAAUAAUACAGGUGGUGCUAAUGUAACAUUGGAAAAAUGAUUGAGUUGGUUUCCUUUGAUACAUACAGUCUCAUUUUCAUUUUCUUGUAAUUAUUCUAUUUUCCUUUUUUCUUUUUCAUUUUCUUGUAAUUAUUCUUUUUUCUUUUUCAUUUUCUACUUAUAAUUAGUAUUUUAGCAUAUUUUUUAAUCUGUAUAACUUAUGUUAAAUGUUUAAUUAUCAGAAUAUAGAAGAUGACAUUUUAUGUUCUUAAGGAUAUAAGUAUAUAUUUAAUUAAUUUUGAUGUUCAAUACAUAUCUUUCUAAACUAUUUAAUGUCAAUGUUUGUUACUCAUUACAUGUUUGAUUGAUUUAUAUAAUUGAGGAUGUACUUAAUAGAAAUAUUUAGCUUACAUUAUUUAAUAGAAAUCUCUGGUUCAUAAUCACUUUAUGAUUGUAUAAACAAAAUACAAAGGGUAAAAAAAUACGUACUGCUGAAAAAUUGUCAUAUUUUCUUUUUUUUCUAUCUUUUAUGAGUAAUUUUCAUUCUUAUCUAUCAAAUGUACAGAUCAAGUGAUUUCUGAUAUAGGUUGAUCUUUUGAAGGUUACACAUCUCUACCUUUUUUAUUUUGUCACCCUAUUCAUUUGUGUUUCCUCUUAUUUUCAAUUUUAUUCUUGCGUCACCAAUGAUUAUGAUAGGGUUUUUCGUAUUGUUUUGAUGAGAUUGAGAUGUUUGUUAGGAUUAUGAGGAUCUCACAAUAAUACAGGUGGUGCUAAUGUAACACUGGAAAAAUGAUUGAGUUGGUUUCCUUUAAUACAUACAGUCUCAUUUUCAUUUUCUUGUAAUUAUUCUAUUUUCCUUUUUUCUUUUUCAUUUUCUUGUAAUUAUUCUUAUUUCUUUUUUCUUUUUCAUUUUCUACUUAUAAUUAGUAUUUUAGACUAUUUUUUUAUCUGUGUAACUUAUGUUAAUUGUUUAAUUAAUAGAAUAUAGAAGAUGACAUUUAUUGUUCUUAAGGAUAUAAGUAUAUAUUUAAUUAAUUUUGAUGUUUAAUACAUAUCUUUCUAAACUAUUUAAUGUCAAUGUUUGUUACUCAUUACAUGUUUGAUUGAUUUAUAUAAUUGAGGAUGUACUUAUAACAAAUACUUAGCUGAAAUUACUUAAUAGAAAUCUCUGGUUCAUAAUAAGUUUAAGAUUGUAUAAACAAAAUACAAAGGGUAAAAAAAUACGUACAUCUGAAAAAUUGUCAUAUUUUCCUUUUUAUUCUAUCAUUUAUGAGUAAUUUUCUUUCUUAUCUAUCAAAUGUACGGAUCAAGUGAUUUCUAAUAUAGGUUAAUCUUUUGAAGGUUAUACAUCUCUCAAUCGUUUAUUUUGUCACUCUAUUCAUUUGUGUUUCCUGUUAUUUCCAAUUUUAUUCUUGCAUCACCAAUGAUUAUGAUAGGGUUUUUCGUAUUGUUUUGAUGAGAUUGAGAUUUUUGUUAGGAUAUACUCCUAGAGUGUUAUUAUUUGCACCACGAUCACAUUGUGACCUUUACUGAUUGAGUUGGUUUCCUUUAUACCAUACAGUCUCAUUAUAAGCUUGUUGUUAUUAUUCUUUUUUCUUUUUUUCUUUUUCAUUUUCUAGUAAUUAAUUUAUCUUAUUUUUUUCUUUUUCAUUUUCUACUUAUAAUUAGUAUUUUAGCAUAUUUUUUAAUUUGUAUAAGUUAUGUUAAUUGUUUAAUUAUCAGAAUAUAGAAGAUGACAUUUUACGGUCCUAAGGAUAUAAGUAUAUAUUUAAUUAAUUUUGAUGUUCAAAACAUAUCUUUCUAAACUAAUUAAUGUCAAGGUUUAUUACUCAUUACAUGUUUGAUUGAUUUAUAUAAUCGAGGAUGUACUUAUUAGCAAUAUUUAGCUUACAUUAUUUAAUAGAAAUUUCUGGUUCAUAUUCACUUUAUGAUUGUAUAAACAAAAUACAAAGGGUAAAAAAAUACGUACUGCUGAAAAAUUGUCAUAUUUUCUUUUUUUUUCUAUCUUUUAUGAGUAAUUUUCCUUCUUAUCUAUCAAAUGUAUAGAUCAAGUGAUUUCUGAUAUAGGUUGAUCUUUUGAAGGUCACACAUCUCUACCUUUUUUAUUUUGACACCCUAUUCAUCUGUGUUUCCUCUUAUUUGCAAUUUUAUUCUUGCAACACCAAUGAUUAUGACAGGGUUUUUCGUAUUGUUUUUAUGAGAUUGAGAUGUUAGUUAGGAUUAUGAGGAUCUCACAAUAAUACAGGUGGUGCUAAUGUAACACUGGAAAAACGAUUGAGUUGGUUUCCUUUAAUACAUACAGUCUCAUUUUCAUUUUCUUGUAAUUAUUCUAUUUUCCUUUUUUCUUUUUCUUUUUCUUGUAAUUAUUCUUUUUUCUUUUUUUCUUUUUCAUUUUCUAAUUAUAAUUAUUAUUUUAGCAUAUUUUUUAAUUUGUGUAACUUAUCUUAAUUGUUUAAUUAUCAGAAUAUAGAAGAUGACAUUUUAUGUUCUUAAGGAUAUAAGUAUAUAUUUAAUUAAUUUUGAUGUUCAAUACAUAUCUCUCUAAACUAUUUAAUGUCAAUGUUUUUUACUCAUUACAUGUUUGAUUGAUUUAUAUGAAUGGGGAUGUACUUAAUGAAAAUAUUUUGCUUACAUUAUUUAAUAGAAAUCUUUGGUUCAUAUUCACUUUAUGAUUGUAUAAACAAAAUACCAAGGGUAAAAAAAUACGUACUGCUGAAAAAUUGUCAAAUUAUCUUUUUUUUCUAUCUUUUAUGAGUAUUUUUCAUUCUUAUCUAUCAAAUGUACAGAUCAUGUGAUUUCUGAUAUAGGUUGUUCUUUUGAAGGUUACACAUCUCUACCUUUUUUAUUUUGUCACCCUAUUCAUCUGUGUUUCCUCUUAUUUUCAAUUUUAUUCUUGCGUCACCAAUGAUUAUGAUAGGGUUUUUCGUAUUGUUUUGAUGAGAUUGAGAUGUUUGUUAGGAUUAUGAGGAUCUCACAAUAAUACAGGUGGUGCUAAUGUAACACUGGAANCAAUUAACAUAAGUUACACAGAUUAAAAAUAUGCUAAAAUACUAAUUAUAAGUGGAAAAUGAAAAAGAAAAGAAAAAAGAAAUAAUUACAAGAAAUGAAAAAGAAAAAAGGAAAAUAGAAUAAUUACAAGAAAAUGAAAAUGGAGACUGUAUGUAUUAAAGGAAACCAACUCAAUCAUUUUUCCAGUGUACAUUAGCACCACCUGUAUUAUUUGUGAGAUCCUCAUAAUCCUAACAAAACAUCUCAAUCUCAUCAAAACAAUACGAAAAACCCUUCAUAAUCAUUGGUGUGCAAGAAUAAAAUUGAAAAUAAGAGGAAACACAGAAAUGAAUAGGGUGACAAAAUUAAAAAAGGUAGAGAUGUGUGAACCUUCAAAAGAUCAACCUAUAUCAGAAAUCACUUGAUCUGUAAAUUGAUAGAUAAGAAGAAAAUUACUCAUAAAAUAGAAAAAAAAGAAAAUAUGACAAUUUUUCAGCAGUACGGAUUUUUUUACCCUUUGUAUUUUGUUAUACAAUCAUAAAUGAAUAUGAACAGAGAUUUCUAUUAAAUAAUGUAAGCUAAAUAUUUCUAAUAAGUACAUCCUCAAUUAUAUAAAUCAAUCAAACGUAAUGAGUAACAAACCUUGACAUUAAGUGUUAGAAGAUAUGUAUGAACAUCAAAAUUAAUUAAAUAUAUACUUAUUACCGUAAGAACAUAAAAUGUCAUCUUCUAUAUUUGAUAAUUAAACAAUUAACAUAAUUAUACAGAUAAAAAUAUGCUAAAAUACUAAUUAUAAUGAGAAAAUGAAAAAGAAAAAAUAAAAUAAAGUAAUUACAAGACCAAAAGAAAAGAAAAAAAAGAAAAAGAAUAAUACAACAAAUUAAAUGAGACGUAUGGUAUAAAGGAAACCAACUCAAUCAAGUUUUCCAGUGUUACACUAGCACCACGUUAUUAUUUUGAGGAUCCUCAUAAUCCUAACAAAAUCUCAAUCUCAUCAAAACAAUACGAAAAAAAACCUAUCAUAAUCAUUGGUGAUGCAAGAAUAAAAUUGAAAAUAAACAGGAAACACAAAUGAAUAGAGUGACAAAAUAAAACAAAGUAGAGAUGUAAACCUUCAAAGAUGAAACUAUAUAGAAAUCACUUUAAUCCGUUACAUUUGAUAGAUAAGAAAAAUACUCAUAAAAGAUAGAAAAAAAAGGAAAAUAUGACAAUUUUUCAGCAGUACAUAUUUUUUUACCCUUUGUAUUUGUUUAUACAAUCUAAACUGAUUGAUGAACCAGAGAUUUCUAUUAAGUUGUAAGCUAAAUAUUUGUAUUAAGUACAUCCUCAAUUAUAUAAUCAUUCAAACAGUAAUGAGUAACAAAACAUUGACAUUAAAUAGUUUAGAAAGAUAUGUAUUGAACAUCAAAUUAAUAUAAUAUAUUACUUAUAUCCUUAAGAACAUAAAAUGUCAUCUUCUAUAUUCGAUAAUUAAACAAUUAACAUAAGUUACACGAAUUAAAAAAUAUGCUAAAAUACUAAUUAAAGUAGAAAUGAAAAAGAAGAAGAAAAAGAAUAAUUACAAGAAAAUGAAAAAAAGAAAAAAGGAAAAUAGAAUAAUUACAAGAAAAUGAAAAUGAGACUGUAUGUAUUAAAGGAAACCAACUCAAUCAUUUUUCAGUGUUACAUUAGCACCACCUGUAUUAUUGUGAGAUCCUCAUAAUCCUAAACAACAUCUCAAUCUCAUCAAAAACAAUACGAAAAACCCUAUCAUAAUCAUUGGUGACGCAAGAAUAAAAUUGAAAUAAGAGGAAACACAAAUGAAUAGGGUGACAAAUAAAAAAGGUAGAGAUGUGUAACCUUCAAAAGAUCAACCAUAUCAGAAAUCACUUGAUCUGUACAUUUGAUAGAUAAGAAUGAAAAUUACUCAUAAAAAUAGAAAAAAAGAAAAUAUGACAAUUUUUCAGCAGUAACGUAUUUUUUUACCCUUUGUAUUUUGUUUAUACAAUCAUAAAUGAAUAUGAACCAGAAUUCAUUAAAUAAUGUAAGCUAAAUAUUUUCUAAUAAGUACAUCCUCAUUAUAUAAAUCAAUCAAACUGUAAUGAGUAACAAACCUUGACAUUUAAUGUUUAGAAAGAUAUGUAUUGAACACAAAUAAUUAAAUUAUACUUAUAACCUUAAGAACAUAAAAUGUCAUCUUCUAUAUUUGAUAAUUAAACAAUUAACAUAAGUUAUACAGAAUUAAAAAUAUGCUAAAUACUAAUUAUAAUAGAAAUGAAAAAAAAGAAAAAAAUAAGAAUAAUUACAAGAAAAUGAAAAGAAAAAAAGAAAUAGAAUAAUAACAACAAAUUUAAAUGAGACCGUUAUGGUAUAAAGGAAACCACUCAAUAGUUUCCAGUGUUACACUAGCACCACGUUAUUAUUUUGAGACCUCAUAAUCCUAACAAAAAAUCUCAUCUCAUCAAAACAAUACGAAAAACCCUAUCAUAAUCAUGGUGGAUGCAAGAAUAAAAAUGAAAUAACAGGAAACACAAAUAAUAGAGUGACAAAAUAAACAAGUUAGAGAUGUAUAACCUUCAAAGAUAACCUAUAUCAGAAAUCACUUGAUCUGUACAUUGAUAGAUAAGAAAGAAAAUUACUCAUAAAAGAUAGAAAAAAAGAAAAAAUAUGACAAAUUUUCAGCAUACGUAUUUUUUUACCCUUUGUAUGUUUGUUUAUACAAUCAUAAAUUGAUAUGAACAGAGAUUUCUAUUAAGAAUGUAAGCAAAUAUUGUUUAUAAGUACAUCCUCAAUUAUAUAAAUCAAUCAACAUGUAAUGAGUAACAAACAUUGACAAUAAAUAGUUUAGAAAGAUAUGUAUUGAACAUCAAAAUUAAUUAAAUAUAUACUUAUAUCCUUAGAACAUAAAAUGUCAUCUUCUAUAUUUUGAUAAUUAAACAAUUAACAUAAGUUCAUACAGAUUAAAAAAUAUGCUAAAUACUAAUUAUAAUAGAAAAUGAAAAAAAAAAGAAAAAGAAUAAUUAAAAAAAUGAAAAAGAAAAAAGAAAAUAGAAUAAAACAAAAAUGAAAUGAGACCGUAUGUAUUAAAGGAAACCACUCAAUAUUUUCCAGUGUUACAUAGCACCCACGUUUAUUAUUGUGAGAUCCUCAUAAUCCUAACAAAAAUCUCAAUCUCAUCAAAACAAUACGAAAAACCCUAUCAUAAUCAUUGGUGAGCAAGAAUAAAUAAAAUAAAGGAAACACAAAUGAAUAGGUGACAAAAUAAAACAAGUUUAGAGAUGUUAACCUUCAAAGUAACCUAUAUCAGAAAUCACUAUUCCGUACAUUGAGUAGAUAAGAAAAAAUUACUCAUAAAAGAUAGAAAAAAAAGAAAAUAUGACAAUUUUCAGCAAGUACAUAUUUUUUUACCCUUUGUAUUUUGUUUAUACAAUCAAUAAUGAUUAUGAACCAAGAUUUCUAUUUAAUAAUGAAGCUAAAUAUUUUAUUAAGUACAUCCUCAUUAUAUAAAUCAAUCAAACAUGUAAUGAGUAACAAACAUUGACAUUAAAUAGUUUAGAAAGAUAUGUAUUGAACAUCAAAAUUAAUUAAAUAUAUACUUAUAUCCUUAGAACAUAAAAUGUCAUCUUUCUAUAUUCUGAUAAUAAACAAUUAACAUAAGUUACACAGAUUAAAAAUAUGCUAAAAUACUAAUUAUAAGUUAGAAAUGAAAAAGAAAAGAAAAAGAAUAAUUACAAGAAAAUGAAAAAGAAAAAAGAAAAUAGAAUAAUUACAAGAAAAUGAAAAUGAGACUGUAUGUAUUAAAGGAACCAACUCAAUCAUUUUUCCAUGUACAUUACCACCUGUAUUAUUGUGAGAUCCUCAUAAUCUACAAAAACAUCUCAAUCUCAUCAAAACAUACGAAAAAACCCGUAUCAUAAUCAUUGGUGAGCAAGAAUAAAAUUGAAAAAUAAGAGGAAACACAGAUGAAUAGGGUGCACAAAAUAAAAAAGUAGAGAUGUUGUAACCUUCAAAAGAUCAAACCUAUAUCAGAAAUCACUUUAUCGUACAUUUGAUAGAUUAAGAAGAAAAUUACUCAUAUAAAAAUAGAAAAAAAGAAAAUAUGACAAUUUUUCAGCAGUACUGUAUUUUUUUACCCUUUGUAUUUUGUUUAUACAAUCAUAAAGUGAAUAUGAACCAGAGAUUUCUAUUAAAGUAAUGUAAGCUAAAUAUUUCUAAUAAGUACAUCCUCAAUUAUAUAAACAAUCAAACGUGUAAUGAGUAAAAAACCUUGACAUUAAUUAGUUUAGAAAGAUAUGUAUUGAACAUCAAAAAUUAAUUAAUAUAUACUUAUCCUUAAGAACUAAAAUGUCAUCUUCUAUAUUCUGAUAAUUAACAAUUAACAUAGUUAUAGCAAUAAAAAAAUAUGCUAAAUACUAAUUAUAAUAGAAAAUGAAAAAGAAAAAUAAAAUACAUAAUACAAGAAAAUGAAAAAGAAAAAAAAAAAAUGAAUAAUAACAACAAAUUGUAAAAUGAGACCGUAUGGUAUAAAGGAAACCAACUCAAUAGUUUUCCAGUGUUACACUUAGCACCACGUUUAUUAUUGUGAGAUCCUCAUAAUCCUAACAAAAAUCUCAAUCUCAUCAAAACAAUACGAAAACCCUAUCAUAAUCAUUGGUGAUGCAGAAUAAAUUGAAAAUAACAGGAAACACAAAUGAAUAGAGUGACAAAAUAAACAGUUGUGAGAUGGUAUAACCUUCAAAAAGAUACCUAUAUCAGAAAUCACUUAAUCCGUUCAUUUGAUAGAUAAGAAAAAAUUACUCAUAAAAGAUAGAAAAAAAGGAAAAUAUUGACAUUUUCAGCAUACGUAUUUUUUUACCCUUGUAUUUUUUUAUACAAUCAUAAACUUAUUAUGAACCAGAGAUUUCUAUUAAGUAUGUAGCUAAAUAUUGUAUUAAGUACAUCCUCAAUUAUUAUAAAUCAAUCAAACAUGUAAUGAGUAACAAACAUGACAUUUAAUAGUUUAGAAAGAUAUGUAUUGAACAUCAAAAUUAAUUAAAUAUAUACUUAUAUCCUUAAGAACAUAAAAUGUCAUCUUCUAUAUCUGAUAAUAAACAAUUACAUAAGUUACACAGAUAAAAAAUAUGCUAAAAUACUAAUUAUAAGUAGAAAAUGAAAAAAAAAGAAAAAAGAAUAAUACAAGAAAUGAAAAAGAAAAAGGAAAAAUAGAAUAAUUACAAGAAAAUGAAAAUGAGACUGUAUGUAUUAAAGGAAACCAACUCAAUCAUUUUUCCAGUGUUACAUUAGCACCACCUGUAUUAUUGUGAGAUCUCAUAAUCCUAACAAACAUCUCAAUCUCAUCAAAACAAUACGAAAAACCCUAUCAUAAUCAUUGGUGACGCAAGAAUAAAAUUGAAAAUAAGAGGAAACACAAUGAAUAGGGUGACAAAAUAAAAAAGGUAGAGAUGUGUAACCUUCAAAGAUCAACCUAUAUCAGAAAUCACUUGAUCUGUACAUUUGAUAGAUAAGAAUGAAAAUUACUCAUAAAAAUAGAAAAAAAGAAAAUAUGACAAUUUUCAGCAGUACGUAUUUUUUUACCCUUUGUAUUUGUUUAUAAAUCAUAAAGUGAAUAUGAACCAGAGGAUUCUAUUAAUAAUGUAAGCUAAAUAUUUCUAAUAAGUACAUCUCAUUAUAUAAAUCAAUCAAACUGUUAAUGAGUAAAAACCUUGACAUUAAUUAGUUUAGAAGAGUAUGUAUUGAACAUCAAAAUUAAUUAAAUAUAUACUUAUACCUUAGAACAUAAAAUGUCAUCUUCUAUAUUGCUGAUAAUUAAACAUUAACAUAAGUUAUACAGAUUAAAAAAAUAUGCUAAAAUAACUAAUUAUACUAGAAAAUGAAAAAAAAAAAAAAAUAGAAUAAUUCAACAAAAUGAAAAGAAAAAAGAAAAAUAGAAAUAAUCAACAAAUUAAAUGAGACCGUAUGGUAUAAAGCGGAAAAAACCAGCUUCAAUAAGUUUUCCAGUGUUACACUAGCACCACGUUUAUUUUAUGUUCUUAAGGAUAUAAGUAUAUAUUUAAUUAAUUUUGAUGUUUAAUACAUAUCUUUCUAAACUAUUUAAUGUCAAUGUUUGUUACUCAUUACAUGUUUGAUUGAUUUAUAUAAUUGAGGAUGUACUUAUAACAAAUAUUUAGCUGAAAUUACUUAAUAGAAAUCUCUGGUUCAUAAUAAGUUUAAGAUUGUAUAAACAAAAUACAAAGGGUAAAAAAAUACGUACAUCUGAAAAAUUGUCAUAUUUUCCUUUUUAUCUUAUCUUUUAUGAGUAAUUUUAUUUCUUAUCUAUCAAAUGUACGGAUCAAGUGAUUUCUAAUAUAGGUUAAUCUUUUGAAGGUUAUACAUCUCUCAAUCGUUUAUUUUGUCACUCUAUUCAUUUGUGUUUCCUGUUAUUUUCAAUUUUAUUCUUGCAUCACCAAUGAUUAUGAUAGGGUUUUUCGUAUUGUUUUGAUGAGAUUGAGAUUUUUGUUAGGUCUAUGAGGAUCUCACAAUAAUAAACGUGGUGCUAGUGUAACACUGAUUUUCAAUUUUAUUCUUGCAUCACCAAUGAUUAUGAUAGGGUUUUUCGUAUUGUUUUGAUGAGAUUGAGAUUUUUGUUAGGUCUAUGAGGAUCUCACAAUAAUAAACGUGGUGCUAGUGUAACACUGAAAAACUGAUUGAGUUGGUUUCCUUUAUACCAUACAGUCUCAUUAUAAGGGUGUUGUUAUUAUUCUAUUUUCCUUUUUUCUUUUUCAUUUUCUUGUAAUUAAUUUAUCUUAUUUUUUUCUUUUUCAUUUUCUACUUAUAAUUAGUAUUUUAGCAUAUUUUUUAAUUUGUAUAAGUUAUGUUAAUUGUUUAAUUAUCAGAAUAUAGAAGAUGACAUUUUACGGUCCUAAGGAUAUAGGUAUAUAUUUAAUUAAUUUUGAUGUUCAAUACAUAUCUUUCUAAACUAAUUAAUGUCAAGGUUUGUUACUCAUUACAUGUUUGAUUGAUUUAUAUAAUUGAGGAUGUACUUAUUAGCAAUAUUUAGCUUACAUUAUUUAAUAGAAAUCUCUGGUUCAUAUUCACUUUAUGAUUGUAUAAACAAAAUACAAAGGGUAAAAAAAUACGUACUGCUGAAAAAUUGUCAUAUUUUCUUUUUUUUUCUAUCUUUUAUGAGUAAUUUUCCUUCUUAUCUAUCAAAUGUACAGAUCAAGUGAUUUCUGAUAUAGGUUGAUCUUUUGAAGGUCACACAUCUCUACCUUUUUUAUUUUGUCACCCUAUUCAUCUGUGUUUCCUCUUAUUUUCAAUUUUAUUCUUGCAACACCAAUGAUUAUGACAGGGUUUUUCGUAUUGUUUUUAUGAGAUUGAGAUGUUUGUUAGGAUUAUGAGGAUCUCACAAUAAUACAGGUGGUGCUAAUGUAACAUUGGAAAAAUGAUUGAGUUGGUUUCCUUUAAUACAUACAGUCUCAUUUUCAUUUUCUUGUACGUAUUCUAUUUUCCUUUUUUCUUUUUCUUUUUCUUGUAAUUAUUCUUUUUUCUUUUUUCUUUUUCAUUUUCUAAUUAUAAUUAUUAUUUUAGCAUAUUUUUUAAUCUGUGUAACUUAUGUUAAUUGUUUAAUUAUCAGAAUAUAGAAGACGACAUUUUAUGUUCUUAAGGAUAUAAGUAUAUAUUUAAUUAAUUUUGAUGUUCAAUACAUAUCUUUCUAAACUAUUUAAUGUCAAUGUUUUUUACUCAUUACAUGUUUGAUUGAUUUAUAUAAAUGGGGAUGUACUUAAUGAAAAUAUUUAGCUUACAUUAUUUAAUAGAAAUCUUUGGUUCAUAUUCACUUUAUGAUUGUAUAAACAAAAUACCAAGGGUAAAAAAAUACGUAAUGCUGAAAAAUUGUCAUAUUAUCUUUUUUUUUCUAUCUUUUAUGAGUAUUUUUCAUUCUUAUCUAUCAAAUGUACAGAUCAUGUGAUUUCUGAUAUAGGUUGUUCUUUUGAAGGUUACACAUCUCUACCUCUUUUAUUUUGUCACCUUAUUCAUCUGUGUUUCCUCCUAUUUUCAAUUUUAUUCUUGCGUCACCAAUGAUUAUGAUAGGGUUUUUCGUAUUGUUUUGAUGAGAUUGAGAUGUUUGUUAGGAUUAUGAGGAUCUCACAAUAAUACAGGUGGUGCUAAUGUAACACAUUUUCGUAUUGUUUUGAUGAGAUUGAGAUGUUUGUUAGGAUUAUGAGGAUCUCACAAUAAUACAGGUGGUGCUAAUGUAACACUGGAAAAAUGAUUGAGUUGGUUUCCUUUAAUACAUACAGUCUCAUUUUUAUUUUCUUGUAAUUAUUCUAUUUUCCUUUUUUCUUUUUCAUUUUCUUGGAAUUAUUCUUUUUUCUUUUUUCUUUUUCAUUUACUACUUAUAAUUAGUAUUUUAGCAUAUUUUUUAAUCUGUGAAACUGAUGUUAAUUGUUUAAUUAUCAGAAUAUAGAAGAUGACAUUUUAUGUUCUAAAGGAUAUAAGUAUAUAUUUAAUUAAUUUUGAUGUUCAAUACAUAUCUUUUUAAACUAAUUAAUGUAAAGGUUUGUUACUCAUUACAUGUUUGAUUGAUUUAUAGAAUUGAGGAUGUACUUAAUACAAAUAUUUAGCUUAUAUUACUUAAUAGAAAUCUCUGGUUCGUAAUCAGUUUAUGAUUGUAUAAACAAAAUACAAAGGGUAAAAAAAUACGUACUGCUGAAAAAUAGUCAUAUUUUCCUUUUUUUUCUAUCUUUUAUGAGUAAUUUUCUUUCUUAUCUAUCAAAUGUACGGAUCAAGUGAUUUCUGAUAUAGGUUAAUCUUUUGAAGGUUACACAUCUCUAACUUAUUUUUUUUUUGUCACUCUAUUCAUCUGUGUUUCCUCUUAUUUUCAAUUUUAUUCUUGCAUCACCAAUGAUUAUGAUAGGGUUUUUCGUAUUGUUUUGAUGAGAUUGAGAUAUUUGUUAGGAUUAUGAGGAUCUCACAAUAAUAAUGUUGGUGCCAAUGUAACACUAGAAAAAUGAUUGGAUUGGUUUCCUUUAAUACAUACGGUCUCAUUUUCAUGGUCUUCUAAUUAUUCUAUUUUAUUUUUUUCUUCUUCAUUUUCUUGUAAUUAUUCUUUUUUUCUUUUUUUCUUUUUCUUUUUCUACUUAUAAUUAGUAUUUUAGCAUAUUUUUUAAUCAAUAUAACUUAUGUUAAUCGUUUAAUUAUCAAAAUAUAAAAGAUGACAUUUUAUGUGCUUUAGGAUAUAAGUAUAUAUUUAAUUAAUGUUGAUGUUCAAUACAUAUCUUUCUAAACUAGUUAAUGUCAAGGUUUGUUACUCAAUAAAUGUUUGAUUGAUUUAUAUAAUUGAGGAUUUACUUAAUAUAAUUAUUUCGGUUACAAUAUUUAAUAGAAAUCUCUGGUUCAUAAUUUUAUAGCUCACUUAUGAGCACCUAUAAAAAUCAUCUAUGUUGGAUAUCUCUUAUUUUCUUACUUUUUAUUUCUUGUAUCAUUUCAUGGAAUUAGUGAUAGAGCAGGUUUUUUCACUCAUUGUCCAUUGAUGUAGGACAUUUUAAGGACUGUUUGUUAGGAUUAUGAGGACUGCAUUCAACUUUAAUAAGAUUAUGGGUGCUACAUUGCUAUUCUCACGAAUACAUUAAUGGAUUGGGUUCUAAAGUUUUACCUAAUUAAUAUCAAUACAAUUAAACGGUUCUGCAUUUAAUAAUUAAUCGCGUACUUUUUGUAAUUAUUUCCACGUAUUUCAUUUCUUUUUUUCUGUUAUUCAUUUUUUAUAUGUAUAAUAUAUUCUUUUUUUCAAUUUUUCUUUUCAUUCUUUCAUACACAUUUAUAACUCUAAGUAUUUUUACGAUUGCUAUAUUUUUUAAGCUAUAUAACUUAGGGUUGAAUAGUUUCCAUAUUCAAGAAAUAAAUAGACAGAUAGAUUCAUUUCCAAAGAUAGCAUUUAAGGAUAUAAAGUAUUAAAUAUUGUAAUUAAUGUUAUGAUUUUUCUUAAUAUUAUAUACUUCUAACACUAAUCUUGUAUUAAGGUUUGUUACUCAAUAAAUGUUUGAUUGAUAAAUAAAUUGAUGAUAUCUAUCUGUAAUUAUACAAAUUAGGUUUGCUUACAUAUAAUAUAUUAAUAGAUAACUACUGGUUCAUAAUCCACUUUAUGAUUGUGAUAGAACAAGGGAACAUUUAUCUAUAGGGUAGAAAAAUACGUAGCUGCUCCAUUGAACCUAUAUUGUACAUAUUUUCCCUCUUUCUUUCUAGUCUUUUAUUAUGAGUAAUUUUUUUUCCUUAUCUCCAUCAAACGUACGGAACCUAAUGAGGAUUUUCUUGUUAUAUAGGGUUUAAUUACUUUUGCUAGGUUACACAUCUCUGAACUUUGUUCAUAAUAUUUAUGUCACUCAUAGGUUCAUCUAUGUUUCCUCUUUAUUUUACCAAUUUUAUUCUUGCCAUCACCAAUCAGAAUUUUAAAUAGGAAUCAGGUUGUUUUCAGAUAUUGUUGUGAUGAAGAUUGAGAUAGAAUUCUGUUAGGUAAAAUUAUGAGGAUCAAAUCACAAAUAAUAAAAUAAAGUUGGUGCCAAGUUUGUGACACAACCUAAAGAAUUUAAAUUUGAUUGGAUUGGUUUCCUUUAAAUUAUCAUAGAAGAUGAAUUUUUAUGCUUCUAUGUAGGAUAUAUAGUAUACCACACUAUUUAGAUUAAUCUUUGAUGUUCCAUCACUUUACACCUCACUCCAUUACUAAAUUAAUUAAUUUCAAAAGGUUUGUUUAACUCACUAAGUCUUCAUUGUACUUUGUAUUUGAUAAUAUUGAGGAUUAACUCUAUAUAUUAUGACCAUCUAUUUACGCCAUUAUCAAAUAUUUAAUAGAAUAUCCCCCUCCGCGCUCCUCAUAAAUCCUUCUUAUGAUUGAAUGAUAUUAACCAAAUACAAAUGGUAAAAAAAUACCGUACUGAACUGAAUAAAUUGUCCAUAUUUUCCUUUUUUUUUCUAUCUUGGUUAAUGAGUAAUGUUUGUUUUAUUCUUAUCUAUCAAAUGUACGCGAAUUCACUUUGAUUUCUGCUAUACGCUUCUAUCACCUUUUGAACGGUUAUAACAUUCUCUAAACUUGUUAUUUUGUCACUCUAUUCAUCUAUGUUUCUCUUAUUUUCAAUUUUAUUCUUGCAAUCACCAGGAUUUAUGAGUACGGUUUUGUUAACACAUAUUGGGAAAUAUUGAUGAGAUUAAGCCUGAUGUUGUUGGCAUUUGGAGGACUCACAAUAAUAAGUUGGUGCUAAUGUAACACUCAGAUCAAAUGGAUUGGGAUUAGUUUCCCUUUAAUUACAUCACGCAGUAUCAAAUUUAUAACAUGUCUUGUAAUUCCCUAAAUUCCAUAUACUUGAAGAUCGAGACUGUUUGCAUUUCCAUUUAUUUCUUUUCUAUCUUUCUAUUGUAAUAAUGCCAUUUUCUUUUUUUACUAAUUUUUCAUUCUUUUCUCUGGGAGCCUAGAGCCUCUGUAGUUAGAAUGGUAGCUAUUAAUUAAAGACCUAACCCUCUAUAUUUUUUUAUCAAACGUCUAUAUAACUAUUUUAACUUCGGCCUCACCGAUUUAAUUCAAUUAACAACCAUUCAUUUUUCAUUCACUACAGACCACUUAUGUAGAAGAUGCCAUAAUGGGUCUACUGAGGGGCGUCGCUCGUAAUAGUUCGCAACAUCAUAUAUCAUCUUUUUCAUAAAGGUGGAUUGUGAAUUCUUGAGUCUCACCAUUGGAUAGAAUUCUAUUGUAUGAUAAAUUAAUUGUUUGGGUCUUGAGGUAGAAUUCCAAUCGGUUACAUUCUUUCUAAGAGUAAAGCAUUCACUGUAAAUAGAAAUUUUAAUCGAGAAUUUUCUAUUAAGGUGAUUUUUGUUGGUGGGUUAUAUAGUUACUUCUUGAAUUUCAAGUAAAUAGAUUUUGUAUUGUGUAUAUGAAUAUUUUUCUUUUAGGAUUCGAAUAAUUGAUGAUUUAUUCGGCUUGCUUGAGAAUAUAUUGAUGAAAUAUUAGUGAUUCAUAAGCAUGGUUGAUAUUUUGCUGUGUCAGGAUAUUUGUAAUACGUUAGGUAACAGUCUCUGGUUCAUAAUCACUAUUCGGGAUUGAUUCAGUUAUAAUGGGUAUGAAUGGCCAAGGUUAAAUACAAGGGUACAGGGUAGAAUUUUAUAAUGAGCUGCUUGAUGAUUUUCUGGUGAUGAGCUGAUGAAGAUAUGAUAACUGACAGUCUGUGAUUUCAUUUCCCCAAGAAACGCUGUUAGAUCCGUUUGCCCUGGCUUUGAAUGUUCAAAUUCGUUGUUCCGCGGGAACCAUUAUGUCAUUGAUCACAAUUCAGCAUUCGGCCUGCUUUCUGCUCUUCAGACUGAUCUUUAUAGUAAUUUUUUUUCCUUAUCUCACUCACUUUUCAAAGUUAGUAUCGCAGGGUCGUUUUACACUUUUUUAAGCUGGGUGUGGCAUAUAUAUAACCAAGGCUUUUGCUCAAUUUGUUCAGAAUUUUACAAUUCAUUUUCAUUCUUUUUCGUUUGUUCAGAGCAUAGUUUUAUAUUUCUCGUGUUUCUUCAAAAAAAUCAUUCAAAUAAUUCAUGGAUGAUUCCAAUUGGGUGUGCGUUGUAAUUGUUAAGCAUUUACAUCUCCAGGUUUUUUAUCUAGCAUCUACGUUGUUUAUAGGUUUCUCGAUACUAUAAGUAUGUUAGCAGGAGUUUUUAUUUUGGGUUCUAUGUUAUGUAAUCUUUUGAUUCAUUGUGCUAUGAGCCCUUUUGCCUAGUUUUUGCCAUUUAAUCUUCAUUUAGAAUCUUUGAUGCCUGCUUCAAAAUGCUUGGAAAUUUUUAUAUGCAUCAUCGAUCUAGACUCUUUCCUGGUGAUUUUGGUAUGUGUGUUCUGUGGUUGCUGUUAUUUUUUGAGUUCCAUUGGUUGAGCAUUGUCAUGAACAUAGUAUCUUUUUUGGAUGUGUUUUACAUUUUGGCAUUGCCUUCCUGUGCAUCUUCCUAUUUUGCUAUUUAGGGGCAAUGUGCUUAUUGAACUUCGAAUUAUCGCAGCUAAGAUUUGUAUUGGAUUAUGUAGGAAUACUGAAUUAAAGAAUGUUGAGAAGGACAUGUCGAAAUUUUGUUGGAUUAUUUUUGUAAAGGCAUUUUCCUCAUUUGAUUGGCAUUGUAUUGUUAGUUUUGGGUCUCUGCUGUGAUGAGAACCAAUUGUUUGACUGAGUUGGAUUGCAGGGUCUAUUUGUGUUUUUAGAGUGGUUAUGGGUGUAAUUUACUCGGGUUUAAUUAAUUGGAGGUUGAGUUGAAAAGUAUUUGACCAUGUUUCAUAGUACAGGACAUAAUUGAAUGUGGACAUAUCUUAUGACAUUUGUCCCUUGGUCAUUGUCCUAUUAAUGUCAAAAUGGAUAUUGCUCUUCUGUUUUGAUUGAUGAAAUGAAUGCAAUGUUUGAUAGAAUAUGCCAUGUAUUAAUACUGAUUUCAAUCUGUCUGGAGCUUCUUGGGAAAAUUUUCAUUGGACGGGCUUCCCUUGGUUCCAAAAUGAGUCUUCUACAAUUUCGUUAUGUAUUAUAGAUAUGAUUCAUUAGGACAAUACUGUUUGUACAGAUCAUUGAAUUUUUUAAGGAAUUUAUUUAGAAUGUAUGUUUUGGGUUAUCUUUUAGGAUAUAAGUUGAUUUGAAUUUUAUGUGUAUCCUCACUAAUUUUAAUUUUGAUGUUCAACUGUUUGGUCCUUUGAGGUUCUAGAUACAUUGGCAUGGUUUGUUGCUUUUCCUUCCUUUUGAAAUGAUAAUUCUAGAUGAAUAGAAUAGUAAUGUUGGAAAAUUAAUUUCCACUUUGGAAGUUGGGAUUUUUUUUAAGUUGUUUUUGGAUUACCUUCUAGCGAUUUGGGGAUAAUUUUUCAACAUUUCGCUAGUUUGAAAUAUUUUGUCAACGCUCUUUUUGAUCCGCUUUGAUGUGCUUACUCUAGUGGUCUUGUUACUCAUUAUGUCAUAUUGAGAGGAUUACGUUAAUUUUAGGCUUUUAUCAGGAUUUGGAAAAGCAAAAUUGACUUUAAGUUAGCUUACAAUAUUUUAAUAGAAACGGCUGGUGGUCAUAGAUUCAUGCAAUGUUGAUCAUUGAGCUUGUUUUCGACUUUGUUUAUUGAGUUGAUACUACUAUUGUUUGUUUUUGUUAGGAAUGACUACACUACACUUUGGCUAUUGGAGCCUUUAUGCUUGCAACAUAGAUGAUGGGGUUGUUAUUAUGGGUAUAUCUUAAAUGUACGUACUGUUUGUGAUUUGCCUUUGUAUGAGACUCUCACCUGUAAUUUUUGAGCUUUGAGUUAUCAGGGGUAGGCAAAAAUUAUGUGUCAUAUGUGCUAUUUCGUCUUUCUUUUUGAUGAACUUUUUGGAUGCUAAUCUUUUGAUUGUCUUUAUGAUAAGGCAUGGCAGAUGAUCAGUGGCAUCUUUCUUCUCUUUUGCUAGAUUCGUAUCCGCUUAUUGUUACCUGGUCGCAAGAAUGUACGGGACACUUGAUAUGAAAGGUCUUCCUUUAAGGAUAGCAUUUGUUCGUUGAGCUUAUGUUUAUAUAGGGUUAUAUUUCCGCCAGCAAGAAUAGUUGAAGGUUACACAUCUUUAACUUUGUUUAUUUUGUCACUCUAUUCAUCUUGUUUCCUCUUAUUUUCAAUUUUAUUCUUGGCAUCACAAUGAUAUGAUAGGGUUUUUCGUAUUGUUUUGCUGAAGAUUGAGAUGUUUGUUAGGAUUAUGAGGAUCUCACAAUAAUAAAGGUGGUGCUAAUGUAACACUAGAAAAAUGAUUGGGUUGUUUCCUUUAAUACAUACGGUCUCAUUUCAUUGUCUUGUAAUUAUUCUAUUUUCUUUUUUUCUUUUCAUUUUUCUUGUAAUAUUCUUUUUUCUUUUUUCUUUUUCAUUUUCUACUUAUAAAAUUAGUAUUUUAGCAUAUUUUUUUAAGUCUAUAUAACUUAUGUUAAUCGUUUAAUUAUCAGAAUAUCAGAAGAUGACAUUUUAUGUCUUAGGAUAUAAGUAUAUAUUUAAUUAAUUUGAUGUUCAAUACAUCAUCUUUCUAAACUUAAUUAAUGUAAGGUUGUUACUGCAUUAAAUGUUUGAUUGAUUUAUAUAAUUGAUGAGUAUUAAUUAAUAUAAAUUUUUAGCUUACAAUAUUUAAUAGAAAUCUCUGGUUCAUAAUCACUUUAUGAUUGUAUAAACAAAUACAAAGGGUAAAAAAAAUACGUACUGCUGAAAAAUUGUCAUAUUUCCCUUUUUUCUUCUUCUUUAUGAGUAAAUUUUUCUUUUCUUAUCUAUAUCAAAUGUACGGAAAAUUGAUUUCUGAUAUAGGUUAAUCUUUUUGAAGGUUACACACAUCUCUAACUUGUUUGUAUUCUUGUCACUCUAUUCAUUCUGUCGUUUCCUCUCUUAUUUUCAAUUUUAUUCUUUGCAUCACCAAUGAUUAUGAUAGGUUUUUUCGUAUUGUUUUGAUGAGAUUGAGGAUGUUUGUUGUAGUGCAUUAUGAGGAUCUCACAAUAAUAAAGUUGGUGCAAAUGUAACACUAGAAAAAUAUUGGAUUGGUUUCCUUUAAUACAUACGCUCAGAUGUCUUCUUAUUCUUUAGUAUCUGCUUAUCAUUCUUUAAUUAUUUUUUUCAAUUUGUUACAUACUUUCCAUAUUUAUUAAUAAUCUAAUGUUAGAUUAAUUUUCAAGGUUUUGUAUACAUAUCGCUACCAUUAAUUGUUUGAUAUGAUUUUAUAUAAUUAGGUUUACUAUAAUAUAAAUAUUUAGCUUUCAAUAUUUAAUAGAACUCUGGGUUCAUAAUCUUACUGAUUGUAUUUAUGAAAACAAUACUAACAUUAAGGUAAAAAACAUACGUACACUCUGAAAAAUUGUCUUCUUUUUUUUCCACUUGUUUUCAUUCUUUCUAUGGUUUAUUUGUCCUAAUCAUAAAUGUACGGAGACUAAUUGAUUUCUGAUAUACGGUUAAUCUUUUGAAGGUUACACAUCUCUAACUUGUCUUAUUUUGUCACUCUAUAUCAUCUUGUUUUCUCUUAUUUCAAUUUAUUCUUGCAUCACCAAUGAUUAUGAUAAGGGUUUUAUUGCAAUAUGUUUUGAGUAGAUUUGAGGUAUUUGAUUAGAUGUGUAAGAUUGAUGGGUCUCACAAUAAUAAGUUGGUGCUACAAUCGUAAACUAGAAAAUAUUGGUUAGUUUUCCUUUAAUACAUACGGUCUCAUUUAUUGUUCUUGUAAUUAUUCUAUUUUUCUUUUUUUCUUUUUCAUUUUCUUGUAAUAUUCUUUUUUCUUUUUCUUUUUCAUUUUCUACUUAUAUAAUAAGUAUUUUAGCAUAUUUUUUAAGCUAUAUAACUUAUGUUAAUCGUUUAAAUUAUCAGAAUAUAGAAGAUGACAUUUUAUGUUCUUUAGGAUAUAAGUAUAUAUUUAAUUAAUUUUGAGUUUUCAAUACAUAUCUUUCUAAACUAAUUAAUGUAAGGUUUGUUACUCUUAUAACAUGUUUGAUUGAUUUAUAUAAUUGAGGAUUUAUUAAUAUAUAAUUUUUAGCUUACAAUAUUUAAUAGAAAUCUCUGGUUCAAUAAUACUUUAUGAAUUGUAUAAAAAACAUACAAGGGAAAAAAACAUACGUACUGCUGAAAAAAUUGAAUCAUAUUUUCCUUUUUUUCUAUCUUUUAUGAGUAAUUUCUUUUCUUAUCUAUCAAAUGUACGGAACAAUUGAUUUCUGAUAAUAGGUUAAUCUUUUGAAGGUAUACACUCUCUAACUUGUUUUAUUUUGUCACUCUAUUCAUCUGUGUUUCCUCUUAUUUCAAUUUUAUUCUUGCAUCACCAAUGAUUAUGAUAGGUUUUUCGUAUUGUUUUGAUGAGAUUGAGAUGUUGUUAGGAUAUAUGAGGAUCUCACAAUAAAUAACGUUGGUGCUAAUGUACACUAGAAAAGAAUUGGUGUGGUUUCCUUUAAUACAUACGGUCUCAUUUUACUGUAUCUCUCUACUUAUUAUUUAAGUAUAAUUUUAAUUAUAUUUUAUUUCAUAAUUUUUUCAUGUUCUUUCUAUUAAUUAAUUUCAAGUUUGUUAUUAUUACAUAAAAUAACAACAUUAUUAAUGUUUGAUUUCGAAGUAUAAUAUUUUAUCUGAGGAUUAUACAGUUAAUGAUAAUAAUGGAGGUCUCUUGUAAGAUUUAUAUAUUAUGUAUAUAUAGAAACCAGAGGUAUAUAUCACUUUAUGGAUUGUAUAGAGACGAAAAAUACAAAGGGUAAAAAAACGUACUGCUGAAAAAUUGUCAUAUUUUCCUUUUUUUUUCUAUCUUUAUGAUGUAAUCUUUUUCUUAUCUAUCAAAUGUACAGGAAACAAUUGAUUUCUGAUAUAGGUUAAUCUUUUGACAGGUUACACAUCUCUAACUUUUUAUUUGUCACUUCUAUUCAUUCUUGUUUAUUCGCUCUUGAUAUUUCUAAUUUUAUUUUCUUGCAUCACCAAUGAUUAUGAUAGGGUUUUCGUAUUGUUUUUGAUGAGAUUAACGGAGAUUUGUUAGGCAUCAUGAAGGAUCUCACAAUAAUAAAGUUGGUGCUAAUGUAAACUCGAGAAAAAUGAUUGGGUUAUGGUUUCCUUUAAUACUACGGUCUCAUUUUCAUUGUCUUGUAAAUUUAUUCUAUUUUCUUUUUCUUUUCAUUUUCUUGUAAUAAUUCUUUUUUCUUUUUUCUUUUUCAUUUUCUACUUAUAAUUUAGUAUUAUUUUACGCAUAGUUUUUUAAGCCUAUAUAACUUAUGUUAAUUCGUUUAAUUAUCAGAACAGUAGAUAGACAUUUUUAUGUGCCUUUUAGGAUAUAAGUAUAUAUUUAAUUAAUUUUGAUAGUUCAUACAUAUCUUCUAAACUAAUUAAUUGUAAGCGUUUGUUACUCAAUAAAUGUUUGAUUAUCGUUAUAAAUACUUAAUUAAUAUUAGUAACUUAUUCUCUAUUUGCUUAAUAUUUAAAUAGAAUCUCUGGUUCAUAAUCACUUUAUGAUUGUAAAUAAACAAAAUACAAAGGGUACAAAAAAUACGUCAUGCUCAAAAAUUGUCAAUAUUUUCCUUUUUUUCUAUCUUUUAUGAGUAAUUUUCUUCUUAUCUUCAAAUGUACGGAACCAAUUGAUUUCUGAUAUAGGUUAACAUAACUUUUGAAUGGUUACCAUCUCUAACUGGUUUAUUUGUCAUUAUUCUAUCAUUGUGUUUCUUUCUUAUUUUCAAUUUUAUAUCUUGUCACGCUCACCAGAUUGAUAUCAUGAUAGGGUAUCUUCGUACUUGUUUUGAUGAAUUGAGAUUGUUUCUUAGAUUAUGACGUGAUCUCAGCAUACUAUAAGAGUUGGUGUCUUAAGUAAUCUAACGAGAAUAAUGCACUUGGUUGGUUCCUUUAAUACAUAAGAAGAUAAGAUAUUUUGAUGUUCUUUAAGGAUUAUAAGUUUAUAAAUAGUUAUUAAUUAAUUUUUGAUGCUUCAAUAAUAUCUUUCUACAAUUAAUCUCAAUUUCAAGCCGUUCGUGCCUAUCACUAAUGUUUGAUGAUUAUCAAUAAUUGAGGAUUUACUUAAUAUAAUAUUUACAUUACAUUUUCUACAUAGAAACCCGGCGUCUUAUAAUUACUGUUUAUUGAUGGUGUUUUAUAAAACAAUUAUACAAAGGGUUUACAAAAUUUAACUCAGUACUGCUGAAAAAUUGGUCAAUAUUUUUCGACCUGGUUUUCUUUUCUUUUCUUAUUCUGGUUUCAUGAGGAUUUUCUAUCUGUUUUAUCAAAUGUAACAGAAAAUGGAUUUUGUUAUUUACCUUGUUAGUGCUUUGUUUUCAGAGCCCUCCAACGGUCACUUCUAGUGUGGUUCCCUUCUUUUUUGUGUGUGUUACCACUACAUCCUGAUCUUCGUCAAAGAUACGUAUCAUAUGCACUCCCUACACAUUUUGGUUUCCUUUCCUUCACGUAACUGACUCUGAUGUCUAUUGGCUGGUAGACUAGUAGCCGGAUGGCGAUAUCCUGCCAUCAGUCUGGUUUGUUUUUCCUGGUGUCUCUUUCACCAGUUUGUUAGUGUUUAGCAUGUUUUUAGCAACAUGCCUUCUAUUGUGCGUUGGAUCCCUGAGUACGACGGAUCUAGGGGUGUUACCUUCUUGCAUAACACUCCGAUCCAAUUCUCUUUGGUCCGCAGACAUCUUUCCAGGUUUACGAGGCGUUCCUUUCCCUCUUGUGGAUCAUACACUGGGCGGCUUGUUUGUUCUUUCUUUCCCGUGUUUCGCGUAAUGCACACUGGCACUCUGUGGGAAUUGGAGAAGUUAGCGAUCUCUGCUGGUCCCAUCUUCCCUAAGUGAUUCGCUAGCGUUCUCUACGUGUAGCCUGGGGCUUUGGUUGCUAUGCUGUUAUUUAUGCAUUCAUUUCGAUUUACUGUUUCAUUUAAUGUGUGCAUAAUGUGGCAUUCAUUCAUAUUUCAUGCUGUUUGUCUGGUUUCUCUGGUGUGGUGGGGGUGUACGGAGUAUCGAGGUAAAGGCGCAAACCAGGCUAUGAGUGAUUCUAUGAAACCUAGGAAUAGCGUGAUUCUGGGAUGCGGGUUGCUAUGCGCCACUUAGCGGAACAUCGAUAUCACGCAGGCAGUUCGACCUGGUUUCAUCGUAGCAUCUUCGGGUGUGUAUUUUCAGAGAUGGUAUUCUGGCGAAGGUUAUUAUGUUGCGUUUUCGAGCUUACCUCUACUCUGACGGACACUCCGUCUGAGCGAGGAUGGAGAUUGAAAUUAUGAGGUACUGUUGGGCUGAUGUUGUUGGUGACUUGGGUGAUUCUUAGGUACGAUGGACUGUGAAUUAUGGACAUUAUUUCUGGGAGCGGAGUUCUGUCCAUGGGUUUUAAUAGGGUUACGUUUAUUUCGGAUCGCCCGGUGAAUGUGAGAGUACUGUUCAGGAGGAUUGGCUGUCAUCCGUUCAGUGGAUGUUUCUAUGAUGAUGAUGAUGUAAUUCCGGUUCCGUUUUUUCGGCACUCCCCAAGUCGAUUUAUGGUGACUCAGUGACUGUCUGGUUAGAGACUGUCUCAGAUGAUUUGUGGCACAGUGACUGGCAUUCAUGCAUUCAUCAUCCCAUUUCGGCAUUCAUUGCUGCAUUCACCCAAUGAUAUCCUACUCAGGUCCUUGGAUUAAGAUUCUGGUUGAGAACACUCAGAGUGUAGAAUUGUUAUUGAAUUAUCUGUUCGAUGACGAAGAUCAAAGACAGAUAUCCUGGUACGGGUAGACAUUGCAUGUGUGAGUCAUAUAACCAUUUGCUGUUUUGUAGGGUGUUCAACCGGUGCGAUAGCUCGUUUGCUCAUGAUAUCGCUGUAUGAAGGCAAACAAAUCAAAACUGAUGGAUCUUCCCAAUCAGACAUCGCUGAACUGAAAGAAUGGUAGNUUUGAUGUUCAAUACAUAUCUUUCUAAACUAAUUAAUGAUAAGGUUUGUUACUCAAUAAAUGUUUGAUUGAUUUAUAUAAUUGAUGAUUUACUUAAUAUAAUUAUUUUGCUUACAAUAUUUAAUAGAAAUCUCUGGUUCAUAAUCACUUUAUUAUUGUAUAAACAAAAUACAAAGGGUAAAAAAAUACGUACUGCUGAAAAAUUGUCAUAUUUUCCUUUUUUUUCUAUCUUUUAUGAGUAAUUUUCUUUCUUAUCUAUCAAAUGUACGGAACAAUUGAUUUUUGAUAUAGGUUAAUCUUUUGAAGGUUACACAUCUCUAACUUGUUUAUUUUGUCACUCUAUUCAUCUGUGUUUCCUCUUAUUUUCCAUUUUAUUCUUGCAUCACCAACGAUUAUGAUAGGGUUUUUCGUAUUGUUUUGAUGAGAUUGAGAUGUUUGUUAGGAUUAUGAGGAUCACACAAUAAUAAAGUUGGUGCUAAUGUAACACUAGAAAAAUGAUUGGGUUGGUUUCGUUAAUACAUACGGUCUCAUUUGCAUUGUCUUGUUAUUAUUCUUUUUUCUUUUUUUCUUUUUCAUUUUCUGGUAAUUAUUCUUUUUUCCUUUUUUCUUUUUCAUUUUCUACUUAUAUUUAGUAUUUUAGCAUAUAUUUUAAGCUAUAUAACUUAUGUUAAUCGUUUAAUUAUCAGAAUAUAGAAGAUGACAUUUUAUGUUCUUUAGGAUAUAAGUAUAUAUUUAAUUAAUUUUGAUGUUCAAUACAUAUCUUUCUAAACUAAUUAAUGUCAAGGUUUGUUACUCAAUAAAUGUUUGAUUGAUUUAUAUAAUUGAGGAUUUACUUAAUAUAAUUAUUUCGCUUACAAUAUUUAAUAGAAAUCUCUGGUUCAUAAUCACUUUAUGAUUGUAUAAACAAAAUACAAAGGGUAAAAAAAUACGUACUGCUGAA